CGGGGUGAGUAAUGCUUGGGAAUCUAGCUUAUGGAGGGGGAUAACUACGGGAAACUGUAGCUAAUACCGCGUAGAAUCGGGAGGUGAAAGUGUGGGACCUUCGGGCCACAUGCCAUAGGAUGAGCCCAAGUGGGAUUAGGUAGUUGGUGAGGUAAAGGCUCACCAAGCCGACGAUCUCUAGCUGGUCUGAGAGGAUGACCAGCCACACUGGGACUGAGACACGGCCCAG
rnacentral:rRNA from 1 species